rnacentral:rRNA from 1 species
GAUGAACGCUGGCGGCGUGCCUAAUACAUGCAAGUCGAGCGAACAGACGAGGAGCUUGCUCCUCUGACGUUAGCGGCGGACGGGUGAGUAACACGUGGAUAACCUACCUCUUAGACUGGGAUAACUUCGGGAAACCGGAUCUAAUACCGGAUAAUAUAUUGAACCGGAUGGUUCAAUAGUGAAAGACGGUUUUGCUGUCACUUAUAGCUGGAUCCGCGCCGCAUUAGCUAGUUGGUAAGGUAACGGCUUACCAAGGCGACGAUGCGUAGCCGACCUGAGAGGGUGAUCGGCCACACUGGAACUGAGACACGGUCCAGACUCCUACGGGAGGCAGCAGUAGGGAAUCUUCCGCAAUGGGCGAAAGCCUGACGGAGCAACGCCGCGUGAGUGAUGAAGGUCUUCGGAUCGUAAAACUCUGUUAUUAGGGAAGAACAAAUGUGUAAGUAACUAUGCACGUCUUGACGGUACCUAAUCAGAAAGCCACGGCUAACUACGUG